GAUGAACGCUGGCGGCGUGCCUAAUACAUGCAAGUCGAGCGAACGGACGAGAAGCUUGCUUCUCUGAUGUUAGCGGCGGACGGGUGAGUAACACAUGGAUAACCUACCUAUAAGACUGGGAUAACUUCGGGAAACCGGAGCUAAUACCGGAUGAUAUUUUGAACCGCAUGGCUCAAAAGUGAAAGACGGUCUUGCUGUCACUUAUAGAUGGAUCCGCGCUGCAUUAGCUAGUUGGUAAGGUAACGGCUUACCAAGGCAACAAUGCAUAGCCGACCCGAGUGCGCAGUCGCCCACACUUGAUGUGAGCCGCGGUCCUGACACCUACGAGAGGCGCGAGUAGCGACUGUUCCGAACUGAGCGAAAGCCUGACGAAGCAACUCAGCCUGAGUAAUGAAAGUCUUCGAAUCGUAAAACUCUGUUAUGAGGGAAGAAGAUAUGUGUAAGUAACCGUGCACAUCUUGACGGUACCGAGCCAGAAGGCCAGGGCUAAUUACGU
rnacentral:rRNA from 1 species